UACGUAGGGGGCUAGCGUUGUCCGGAUUUAUUGGGCGUAAAGAGCGUGUAGGCGGCCAAGUAGGUCCGGUGUGAAAACUCGAGGCUUAACCUCGAGAUGUCAUCGGAAGCCAUUUGGCUAGAGUCCGGAAGAGGAAAGUGGAAUUCCUGGUGGUAGCGGUGAAAUGCGCAGAUAUCAGGAGGAACACCGGUGGCGAAGGCGGCAUCCUGGACCAACAUUGACGCUGAGGAGCGAAAGCCAGGGGAGCAAACGGG
rnacentral:rRNA from 1 species